rnacentral:rRNA from 1 species
GAGGCCGNAUANUGCGCAANUGAGGNAUCUGCCGCAGNGACGCCGCGUGAGCGAUGAGUUNUUAAGAUCNUUAAGCUCNGUCNGGGGAAGAAGGGAACCGUAAGGCUUCUUGACGGUACCCANGGAGGAAGCCCCGGCUAACUACGUGCCAGCAGCCGCGGUAAUACGUAGGGGGCAAGCGUUGUCCGGAAUUAUUGGGCGUAAAGGGCGCGUAGGCGGCCUUUUAAGUCUGAUGUGAAAGCCCACGGCUUAACCGUGGGGGNUCAUUUGAAACUGGAGGGCUUGAGUGUCGGAGAGGGCAGUGGAAUUCCCAGUGUAGCGGUGGAAUGCGUAGAUAUUUGGAGGAACACCAGUGGCGAAGGCGACUNUCUGGUCGAUAACUGACGCUGAGGCGCGAAAGCGAGGGGAGCAAACAGGAUUAGAUACCCUGGUAGUCCCCGCCGUAAACGAUGGGUACUAGGUGUAGGAGGGUUCGAUCCCUUCAGUGCCGCAGUUAACGCAUUAAGCNCNC